GGUGGAUACUUGUAGAGGCCAGACACGUGUACGGCUCAAGGAUGUUCGGAUCUAAAAUCAUCUGUAGUGGUGUAUUUCAACCCUCACAAAGGUAUUGAGAUUUGAUCUCAUCUUUAUUUUAUUUUUAGAUUAUAUGCAUAUUUUUAUUUUGAGGCUCGGGUAGGAUUAGAUAUGAUCAAAUGCAUAUGGGGUUAAAGGGUUUAAUCCAGUUUCUUUCUGCUGCUAUUCAAAA
rnacentral:lncRNA from 1 species